GAAAAAAUAGAAUAAAAAAAAUUCAUAUAUAAAAUAAAAUUGUCACUUCCUAUUGUUGUUAUACCUUUCUUGAAAGAGGAGAGACUAUCGUGCUGAUAACGUGUUAUGAACUAUUUCUAAAGAAUGGCAAGAAUAUAGAAGGAGAAGAGAAAGAGAGAAGAGAAAAGAAUAGACCAUUGUUAUUAUUCUAUUCACAAGUGUGUUUUACAUUGUAACAAAUGGGUCUUAUUUAUAGGACACAAUUAGGGGACAAGAAAACCUACACAAUAAUGGACAUUCAUUACAUAUUAUUCAUAACA
rnacentral:lncRNA from 1 species